rnacentral:rRNA from 1 species
UACGAAGGGGGCUAGCGUUGCUCGGAUUGACUGGGCGUAAAGGGCGCGUAGGCGGUUCGUACAGUCAGACGUGAAAUUCCUGGGCUCAACCUGGGGCUGCGUUUGAUACGUGCGGACUUGAGUGCGGAAGAGGGUCGUGGAAUUCCAGUGUAGAGGUGAAAUUCGUAGAUAUUGGGAAGAACACCGGUGGCGAAGGCGGCGACCUGGUCCGAUACUGACGCUGAGGCGCGAAAGCGUGGGGAGCAAACAGGAUUAG